rnacentral:rRNA from 1 species
CCUACGGGGGACAGCAGUGGGGAAUAUUGCACAAUGGGGGAAACCCUGAUGCAGCGUCGCCGCGUGAGUGAAGAAGUAUUUCGGUAUGUAAAGCUCUAUCAGCGGGGAAGAAAUAGCGACCUUUGGGUCGCCAGACGGUACCUGAUUAAGAAGCCCCGGCUAACUACGUGCCAGCAGCCGCGGUAAUACGUAGGGGGCAAGCGUUAUCCGGAUUUACUGGGUGUAAAGGGAGCGUAGACGGCAGCGCAAGUCUGAAGUGAAAUGCCGGGGCUUAACCCCGGAACUGCUUUUGAAACUGUGCAGCUAGAGUGCAGGAGAGGUAAGUGGAAUUCCUGGUGUAGCGGUGAAAUGCGUAGAUAUUAGGAGGAACACCAGUUGCGAAGGCGGCUUACUGGACUGUAACUGACGUUGAGGCUCGAAAGCGUGGGGAGCAAACAGGAUUAGAUACCCCUGUAGUC